rnacentral:rRNA from 1 species
AAGUCGAACGAUGAUGCCCAGCUUGCUGGGUGGAUUAGUGGCGAACGGGUGAGUAACACGUGAGUAACCUGCCCCUGACUCUGGGAUAAGCGUUGGAAACGACGUCUAAUACUGGAUAUGAUUACCGGCCGCAUGGUCUGGUGGUGGAAAGAUUUUUUGGUUGGGGAUGGACUCGCGGCCUAUCAGCUUGUUGGUGAGGUAAUGGCUCACCAAGGCGACGACGGGUAGCCGGCCUGAGAGGGUGACCGGCCACACUGGGACUGAGACACGGCCCAGACUCCUACGGGAGGCAGCAGUGGGGAAUAUUGCACAAUGGGCGAAAGCCUGAUGCAGCAACGCCGCGUGAGGGAUGACGGCCUUCGGGUUGUAAACCUCUUUUAGUAGGGAAGAAGCGCAAGUGACGGUACCUGCAGAAAAAGCACCGGCUAACUACGUGCCAGCAGCCGCGGUAAUACGUAGGGUGCAAGCGUUGUCCGGAAUUAUUGGGCGUAAAGAGCUCGUAGGCGGUUUGUCGCGUCUGCUGUGAAAUCCCGAGGCUCAACCUCGGGCUUGCAGUGGGUACGGGCAGACUAGAGUGCGGUAGGGGAGAUUGGAAUUCCUGGUGUAGCGGUGGAAUGCGCAGAUAUCAGGAGGAACACCGAUGGCGAAGGCAGAUCUCUGGGCCGUAACUGACGCUGAGGAGCGAAAGCGUGGGGAGCGAACAGGAUUAGAUACCCUGGUAGUCCACGCCGUAAACGUUGGGCGCUAGAUGUAGGGACCUUUCCACGGUUUCUGUGUCGUAGCUAACGCAUUAAGCGCCC